CCUUUAGUUCAGCAGGUCCACAUAAACACCUCGUUUGUGAGAAGCAUGGAGUUGGGUUCCUAGAACACGGUCUCUACACCGGGAUUCAUGAGAAUAUUGAAAUGGACGUAUGUGUGUGUUAAGUUAAUCUAUGAAGCAAGGCCUGGCAUCAUACCCAUUUCACAGAUGGAAAAUGGAGGCACAGCAAGAUGAGGUAAACUAAGUAACAGCCUGUGUUGGAAUGCAGGCGGUCCAGCUUCAGAGUCUACCUCAUAAUUCCUAGAAACACAGCCGUCCCGCCCCCGCCCCACAUGAGCUCAUGGCUGGAUCCUCAUGGCUGAGCCUCGGACACUUGGGACGUGGUUGGGGCUUGGUGCGCUAUGGGGACUGAACGGACGUACCGCCCAGGGACU